rnacentral:rRNA from 1 species
UACGUAGGGUGCGAGCGUUAAUCGGAAUUACUGGGCGUAAAGCGUGCGCAGGCGGUUCGUUGUGUCGGUGGUGAAAUCCCCGGGCUUAACCUGGGAAUGGCCAUGGAAACUGGCGAACUGGAGUGCGGCAGAGGGGGGUGGAAUUCCGCGUGUAGCAGUGAAAUGCGUAGAGAUGCGGAGGAACACCAGUGGCGAAGGCGACUACCUGGCCUGUUCUUGACGCUGAGGCGCGAAAGCUAGGGGAGCAAACGGG